GACAGAGGGUGCAAACGUUGCUCGGAAUUACUGGGCGUAAAGCGCGUGUAGGCGGAUCGGAAAGUCGGGCGUGAAAUCCCCAGGCUCAACCUGGGAACUGCACCCGAAACUCCCGGUCUUGAGUGGUGGAGAGGGAAGUGGAAUUCCUGGUGUAGAGGUGAAAUUCGUAGAUAUCAGGAGGAACACCAGUGGCGAAGGCGGCUUCCUGGACACCAACUGACGCUGAGACGCGAAAGCGUGGGGAGCGAACAGG
rnacentral:rRNA from 1 species